UACGUAGGUGUCAAGCGUUGUCCGGAUUUACUGGGCGUAAAGCGUGCGCAGGCGGUUCGUUGUGUCGGUGGUGAAAGCCCCGGGCUUAACCUGGGAAUGGCCAUGGAAACUGGCGAACUGGAGUGUGGCAGAGGGGGGUGGAAUUCCGCGUGUAGCAGUGAAAUGCGUAGAGAUGCGGAGGAACACCGAUGGCGAAGGCAGCCCCCUGGGCUAGCACUGACGCUCAGGCACGAAAGCGUGGGGAGCAAACAGG
rnacentral:rRNA from 1 species